rfam:Stegodyphus mimosarum contig97844, whole genome shotgun sequence.
AAAAAGGCCCUUUUCAGGGUCAUGCAAAUUUACGCUAAAAUCAUAG